rnacentral:rRNA from 1 species
GAAUUCCUAGUAAGCGCGGGUCAUCAGCCCGCGUUGAUUACGUCCCUGCCCUUUGUACACACCGCCCGUCGCUCCUACCAAUUUCGAGUGGCUCGGUGAACCUCUUUGGACUGUCGAGCAAUCGCGAAAUUAGAGUGAACCUGGUCACUUAGAGGAAGGAGAAGUCGUAACAAGGUUUCCGUAGGUGAACCUGCGGAAGGAUCAAUCUUA